UACAGAGGUCUCAAGCGUUGUUCGGAUUCAUUGGGCGUAAAAGGGUGCGUAGGCGGCGCGGUAAGUCGGGUGUGAAAUCUUGGAGCUUAACUCCGAAACUGCAUUCGAUACUGCGGUGCUUGAGGACUGGAGAGGAGACUGGAAUUUACGGUGUAGCGGUGAAAUGCGUAGAUAUCGUAAGGAAGACCAGUGGCGAAGGCGGGUCUCUGGACAGUUCCUGACGCUGAGGCACGAAGGUCAGGGGAGCAAACGGG
rnacentral:rRNA from 1 species